rnacentral:misc_RNA from 1 species
AACUAAUUAGUUUCACUAAAAUAGGACUAAAUAGUAGUAUUUUUCAAAUACAGAAAUCAACUAAUUAGUUUCUUUAAACUAGAGAAAUUAAAUAAUAGUAUGGGUAACGAAAAAUUUGACGGAAUGACUAAAUAGUUUAGCGAAAAAUUUUACAGGGACUUAAUAAUAUAUUUUUUUAAAGUACAAGGACCAAGUAGUUAGUUUUGUUAAAA